rnacentral:rRNA from 1 species
UACGUAGGGUGCGAGCGUUAAUCGGAAUUACUGGGCGUAAAGUGUGCGCAGGCGGCCGCGCAAGUCGAGUGUGAAAGCCCCGAGCUUAACUUGGGAAUUGCGCUUGUGACUGGCGUGCUGGAGUGUGGCAGAGGGAGGUGGAAUUCCACGUGUAGCAGUGAAAUGCGUAGAGAUGUGGAGGAACACCGAUGGCGAAGGCAGCCAUCUGGACCGACACUGACGCUGAGGCGCGAAAGCGUGGGGAGCAAACAGG